rnacentral:lncRNA from 1 species
GGUACAUAUUUUGUCAAGCUAAAUCAAUUAAUGUAUGUAAAAUGCUUAACAAGUUACAUGUGAUAAACCUUCAAAUAGAUGUUAGGGAUAACAAUAACCAUUAGGAUAACAAUGAAUUUGGGAAGGUCUUUCAUGCCAGGAGUUUGGGUCAGGUAAGUAUUAAUAGAUCCUGGAAAGAAACAUUUGGCAUCAGAUUAAAGAAGGAAGAGACUAGGGAAUGAGAAACUAGUUGGUGGCCAUUUUAAUAAUCCAAAGUACAAGUUGUGAAGUCCUGAACAAGAGUGGUAGCAGUA